AUUGGAGUGGCAGAUCAGUGCUUAGGAUUUAAGAUCCUACUAGGGAGUAGUUUAGCGUAUUCUCUCUAAUA
rnacentral:tRNA from 1 species